rnacentral:rRNA from 1 species
UACAUGCAAGUCGAGCGAGAAAGGGGAGCAAUCCCUGAGUACAGCGGCGUACGGGUGAGUAACACGUGGGUGAUCUACCUUUUAGUGGGGGAUAACCCUGGGAAACCGGGGCUAAUACCGCAUAAGCCUGAGAAGGGAAAGCAGCAAUGCGCUGGAAGAGGAGCCCGCGGCCGAUUAGCUAGUUGGUGAGGUAACGGCUCACCAAGGCGGUGAUCGGUAGCCGGCCUGAGAGGGCACACGGCCACACUGGCACUGAAACACGGGCCAGACUCCUACGGGAGGCAGCAGUGGGGAAUCUUGCACAAUGGAGGCAACUCUGAUGCAGCGACGCCGCGUGAGCGAUGAAGCCCCUCGGGGUGUAAAGCUCUUUCGGCAGGGACGAUAAUGACGGUACCUGAAGAAGAAGCUGCGGCUAACUACGUGCCAGCAGCCGCGGUAAUACGUAGGCAGCGAGCGUUGUUCGGAAUUACUGGGCGUAAAGAGUGUGUAGGCGGCGCUCUAAGUUCGGUGUGAAAUCUCCUGGCUUAACUGGGAGGGUGCGCCGGAAACUGGAGUGCUCGAGCGUGGGAGAGGAAAGCGGAAUUCCUGGUGUAGCGGUGAAAUGCGUAGAUAUCAGGAGGAACACCUGCGGUGUAGACGGCUUUCUGGACCAUUGCUGACGCUGAGACACGAAAGCGUGGGUAGCAACAGGAUUAGAUACCCUGGUAGUCCACGCCCUAAACGAUGCGUACUUGGUGUCGGCCAUUCAGUUGGUCGGUGCCGGACUAACGCGUUAGUAUGCCGCCUGGGGAGUAC